rnacentral:rRNA from 1 species
CGCGAUUCGCCCUUGGGUGCACCAGGCGCGAAAACUUUACAAUGCCGGCAACGGCGAUAAGGGAACCUCGAGUGCCAGGUUACAAAUCUGGCUGUCGUGAUGCCUAAAAAGCAUUGCAUAGCAAGGGCCGGGCAAGACCGGUGCCAGCCGCCGCGGUAACACCGGCGGCUCGAGUGGUAACCGUUAUUAUUGGGUCUAAAGGGUCUGUAGCCGGCCGGGUAAGUCUCUUGGGAAAUCUGGCAGCUUAACUGUCAGGCUUUCAGGAGAUACUGCCUGGCUCGAGGCCGGGAGAGGUGAGAGGUACUUCAGGGGUAGGGGUGAAAUCUUGUAAUCCUUGAAGGACCACCAGUGGCGAAGGCGUCUCACCAGAACGGACCUGACGGCAAGGGACGAAAGCUAGGGGCACGAAUCGGAUUAGAUACCCGGGUAGUCCUAGCCGUAAACGAUACUCGCUAGGUGUCGGCCACGGUGCGACCGUGGUCGGUGCCGUAGGGAAGCCGUGAAGCGAGCCACCUGGGAAGUACGGCCGCAAGGCUGAAACUUAAAGGAAUUGGCGGGGGAGCAC